AGCGAACGCUAGCGGCGGGCCUAACACAUGCAAGUCGAGCGGAGAACUUCGGUUCUUAGCGGCGGACGGGUGAGUAACGCGUAGGUAAUGUGCCUUCUGGUGGGGAACAACCGUGCGAAAGCAUGGCUAAUACCGCAUAUGUCGAGAGAUGAAAGCCUUCGGGCGCCAGUAGAGCAGCCUGCGUCCCAUUAUUUAGUCCUAGUUGGUGAGGUAACGGCUCACCAAGGGUACGAUGGGUAGCUGGUCUGAGAGGAUGAUCAGCCACACUGGAACUGAGACACGGUCCAGACUCCUACGGGAGGCAGCAGUGGGGAAUAUUGCGCAAUGGGCGAAAGCCUGACGCAGCCACGCCGUGUGAGUGAUGAAGGCCUCGGUGUAAG
rnacentral:rRNA from 1 species